rnacentral:rRNA from 1 species
UACGGAGGGUGCGAGCGUUAAUCGGAAUUACUGGGCGUAAAGCGUGCGUAGGCGGCUAAUUAAGUCAGAUGUGAAAGCCCCGGGCUCAACCUGGGAAUUGCAUCUGAUACUGGUUAGCUAGAGUCUGUAAGAGGGGGGUAGAAUUCCCGGUGUAGCGGUGAAAUGCGUAGAUAUCGGGAGGAAUACCAGUGGCGAAGGCGGCCCCCUGGGACAAGACUGACGCUGAGGCACGAAAGCGUGGGGAGCAAACAGG